rnacentral:rRNA from 1 species
CAGUAGGGUGCCAUCAAGAGGUGUAUUUGGAAAUAUCCCUAAUACAGGAUCACUU